rnacentral:sRNA from 1 species
GGAUUUGAGGGUGAUCUGGCUGUAACAUGUCACCCCAUUGAUCACCAGGGUUAAUUCGGCUGAUCUGGCUGGCUAGGCAGGUGCCUCCUUCCUCCCUGACCGCUCCCUGUGCGUCCCCCCGGAAGCUGUGCACUCAGUCGAAGAGGAUGACCUUCCUCAAUGGAGGAGAGGACUGUUCUUUGGUCAAGGGUAGAAAAGUAGCUGCACUUUCCUGCUAGAACCUCCAAACAAGCCCUCAAAACAGAACUCCUGACCUCCCCACCAAGCCCGU